CAGCCAUAUCACGUUGAAAUAUCGGUUCCCGUACGAUCACCGAAGCAACGUCGAGUCUAGUCAGUACCUAGAUGGGAGACCGCUUGGGAAAACCAGGUGCUGUAAG
rnacentral:rRNA from 1 species